AAAUUGUCCUUGAUUAUUUGCGUGCAAAGACGGGAGAUACUGCAUUCCACAAGUUUGGAAAUGCAAUCAUAUUGACAAUUGUCUUGAUAAAAGUGACGAAGAAGAUUGUGAGCAAGAAACGACCAUAGAAGAACUGACGACUGUGAAAGAAGUUACAUUCAAUGAAACACAACCAGAACUUUUUCUAUUACAAACGAUUCCGCUUUACCUUUAGUUGAAGAGGCAUUUCCAAAUACAGUCAAUUUUACAAAUCUUACAACAGAACAGGGGACAUUUGGUGCGCAGUGUGAAGAUAUUACUGGAUGUGAAGAUUCACUGUUUUGUAUACAUAAUACUUGCCAGUGUGCUAGUGAAGACUUUUGGAAAGAAGACGCGUGCGUACAUG